AGCUCCUUUAACACAUGAUAAAAGGGGAUGUGAAGAUUUAUUAAAUUAUUAAGUGCUGAUUUAAAAGUCGAUGACACAAUUCUUUGGGUGCACCGCAGUCCAGUUUGGUAGGUUAAGAGUUGUGUAGCCUUCAACCCUAGGAGAGCCCAUAUAAAUAGAUCUCUUUCUCCUAUUCACAAGGACAAACCAACAAUAUGCUCCCCUGGGAGGCAGCAUCAAUCAGCAGCCUUGGGUUGGGAGGCACAAAACCAAAUCCCUAGUCCUGAGAAUCCCACCCACCCCACUUCCGUGCUGUCCUCUGACCUUCCUAUUUUUCUUUAGAUUUCAUACCAAGAGCAUUGUUUAAAAUUUUCUGUGUAUUUUCGUCUAUUUUAUUUUAGUUUAAAAAACACCCACUCUUUAAACACACCCCCAUCUCAGAAUGUCUAAUUUUUCUUCUCACACAGAAAGUUCCUUCCUUUUUGCAUUGAAGGUCAUUCCUUUUCAACAAGAGGCACAAGCAGCAGCAACAACAAAGAUCAGUAUCAAAGAAAAGUGAAGAGAAGAAGAAGAAAAAGCAGAGCAGAGACAUCCCAAUAAUAUCUUUCUUACUUUGUUCUCACUCACUCUCUCUCAUCUUUCUUUUCAAUUUUUAGCUCCAAAUCUAACUCAAAGCUUGUUCCUUUUUCAGCUAUCAACAAAGCACACAGACAAGACCAGGAGUAAAAGCAGAAUAUACACAAAAGAGGGUAAUAUCCAUUCUUUUCUUAAGUGUUUGCUAGUUCUACCUAAGCUUUAGGUAUCUAGUGUAUUUUUAUUUCUACAUGUACACAAGACACAGAGCACACAAGCUACCAUUUUUACACACAACUCGUGUUCACAAGCAUUACAUAAAACAAACAUACACAUCCAUAGCAAAACCAUCACAUGAACACAGCACACACACAUGACACAUCCAGCCAUAGAAAACCUGAAGCCUCGAAAUCCCAACACAAAAACAUAGCCACACCCAAGCCAAAAAUCCAACCUUUUGAACACCCAAAACUCGAAACAAAAAUCCUUUCUUUCUUAACACCCCCAAACCCAAAUCAAAAUCCCUUCUUUUUCCAAAUCAUUAAACCCCAAAAAAUAAAAACCAAAUCCCCAAACCCACAAACAGGCAGGCAAUAAAAAGAGAAACUUUCGGCCAUAAAUCAAAGAACAACAGCAGAAAAAUAAAAAGAUUAGAGAGUUAGAGACUCGGGAGAGAGAGCCAGGAUAGAAAGGGAGAGAGCCACGGUGUUGGUGGCUUGCGUUGAGCUUUGAAGCUCCGGCCGUGGAGGUCGUGGGUUUGAUUCAGAGAUGGAGAGAAGAGAGAGAGGGAGAGAGGCUUAAGGCUUAAUCUGAUUUGGGUUUACCGUUUAAGUUUAAGAUAGAAAUAGAAAGAAAAGGCCUAGGAGAAAAGAUAAGAUGCUGAGGUGGCGUUCUGUCAUUGGUCCAUAGAUAUUUCUUUUAAUAGUUUAAGUGAAGUUUGGGUUUGGACCGGAUUGGACCCAUUUAGGCUCAAUCCGAAUUCCUCUAAGCUCCAGCCCACAUUAAAGUUUAGCUUCACCCAGAUCCAAUCUAAAAAUUCACACUCACAAGCCCACCAGCCUUUUAAAAAUCAUAGUCAAGCCAAGCCCAAAAAUCAAGCUCCUUUUUAAAUCCAUUCCACCACAAGGGCCCAAUCCGGAUCCACAAGUCAAGCAUGUUUCAAAAAUUAUAAACCAACCCAAACCUUUUUCAAAUUACAUUUUGACUUUUUAACUUUCACAAAAUUAAUCUUUUAACCCUAAAACUUUCCAAAAUUAAACUUUCAACCCCAAAGCCUUUCGUAAAAUUAAACUUUUAACCUGAAGCUUUUCCAAAAUACAUUUCAACCCCAAAUCUUUUCUGAAUUGCAAUUUGACCCCAAAUUUUUUUCCAAAUUCAUUGUGAUCUGAAACUUUCCAAAAUUACAAUCUGACCCAAAACUUUUCCAAAUUAUAUUUCAACCUUGAAACUUUUUGAAAUCACAAAUUGACCUCAAACUUCCAAAAGUUCAUCUUUAACCAUUGUUUUGCCAAAAUAAAAAGAUUUCUUCAAGAUUAAUAAUUUGUCAAUGACGUUGUUUCAGCAUCUCUUAGAAAUCUAAUAUUUAUUUUCUUGUCAUUUCUUUGUGUCUCUUGCAUGAGAUAAGAUACUUUGGGAAAAGGAUUCGCAAAAUUGCAAUUAGUAUGCUAUGCUUUGGAACAAGGUCGUUGGAGGAAAGAAGGGGAAAGGAAAAUUCAAAAGCAAUUGCUUUUUAAAGGAAGAGGUGUAAAUCUGGUUGCAACUAGCUAAAAAUUGAAAUUUCAAGUGCAUUAACAAGCUUUGUGAAAAUGUCAGAGUGGCCUUUUUUUUUUUUGGUUAUUUGUUUGUGCUUUCUCAUGGAAUUGCAUGUUUUCAAACACGCAUAUUUGAACUUGGUUGCUUUAAAUUUUGCUUACUUUGUUCUCUCUUUGUGGGAGAUUACGGUGUAUAGACAUGGAAUUUAGACUAAAAAGUUUAGUUUCAACCAUUGAAAAUGCUCUUAACUACCAUUUCAAUUUGUUUUGCAAUACCAAUGUUGAUCAUGUCAAUUUUAAAAUCAUUCAAGAAGCCUGCACUUUCCCAAUACCUGUAGGCUAUAAUUUCUUUCAAGUUGCCAUCGUCUUAAACUGGUAUAGCUAAAAAUUUCAAGCCAAAUCUUGAUUUCUUGUCAUGGCUUGAAAUUUAAUCAAUAUGUACAUUUGUUAAAGUUAACAUUUUUCCAACGGAAAAAAUGAAAAGAAAAAAGUUGAGUCUUUCUUUUCUCUUCCGCAUCCUUUUCUGAGCCAGAUUAGAUACUGAUACCUGGGCAGCUUUACCUGUGGUUUGAUCCCAAAAACAAUGAUGUGAACAAAGAAGCAAGACAUCUGAAUCAUCUGAUAAGUUUUGCAGGGCACAGAGAUUCAAUGGCUUGUCCGGACUCAUUUGAGUGAGUUCAGAGCAGAUGCACACCCAGAAAUUUGACCGGGAAAGAAGGAUGCAGUGGCAAUCUGGGUUCAGGACUCCAUGCACUAGUGCUUACCUGGUGUCCCUAACACAUGGAUUGAUAUCUUUUAGGAACUGAUCCGUCAUCACCUGGGGAUAAAGGGAUGAACAUUUAAAAGGAUGCAUCAAUUAAAAAAAAAAAAUGAAAAAAGCUUUUCCGUGCACAUCAGUGGACUAAGAUCUAAGGAGUACUAGGGUAAAUGUGCUGCCAGACGCAACCUGAAUAGAGUUUUGAAUGACAUUAGGGCCUUUUGAUGGGAAAAAGACUGCUUCUUGUUUUAUUGUGGCAGGAAGUGACAAGAUCCAGGUGUCCAAUUAUAACAACAAAGUAGUGUUUGAGUUCUUACUUCAUAUUGUCUUGUGAUUUGUCUUCUAAUCUUUUUGCAUUCAUUUUCGUUUGAGGAUGUUUUAUUUUUAUUUCUUGGGGGUGAUAUUGAAGGCUCGAUAUGGACAUUCAAUAUGGUUUUUUUACUUAUUUAAUCACUUUUUAUUUUUA